rfam:Pteropus alecto contig104256, whole genome shotgun sequence.
CCAAAGGCUCUUUUCAGAGCCCCCACCAUCUCAAAAGAAGAGCUAG